CUGCCCCAAAAUGCUCACUCUUCUCUUUUUUUUUUUUUGAAACCAGGUCUCACUCUGUCACCCAGGCUGGAGCACAGUGGCAUGACCUCAGCGGACUGCAACCUCAGCCUCCCAUGCUCAAGUGAUCCUCCCACCUCAGCUUUGUGAGUAGCUGGGAUUACAGGCACGCAACCUCCUAUAGUCAUAGGCGCGUGCCACCACACCCAGCUAAUUUCUGUAUUUUUUUUGUAGAGAUGGGGACUUGCCAUGUUGCCCAGGCUGGUCUCAAACUCCCGAGCUCAAGUGAUCCAGCCCCCUAGACUUCCCAAAGUGUUGGGAUUACAGGCAUGAGCCACCGCGCCCAGCCAAGAAUGCACUCUCUUCAGCCAAUUACUCUGAGGCUACCGAUUCUACAGUGGGUUCCAAAUGAAAGAAGAGAAAGUCAUAGCAGAUGGCGUCUCGCUCUGUUGCCCAGGCUGGAGUGCAAUGGUGUGAUCUUGGCUCACUGCAACCUCCGCCUCCCCAGUUCAACCAAUUCUCCUGCCUCAGUUUCCUGAGUAGCUGGGACUACAGGCAUGUGCCACCAUGCCCAGAUAAUUUUUGUAUUUUUAGUAGAGACGGGGUUUCUUUUUUGGGGUGGGGGGACAGAG
rnacentral:lncRNA from 10 species